AGUAGAAGUAAAAAGUAGGCUGAAAAAUAAUUACUCCAGUAAAGUAAAGAUACCCAAAAUUUCUACUAUAAGGUAACGAAGUAUUUGUACUUUGUUACUUGACACCUCUGAUGUAUAUAUAUUCUAUUGAACGUUUUAUACUUAUAUUAUACUAUAUACCUGACCUUUUUAUUUUAUUCUUCCCCUGCUUUGGCAAUGAGUUGUAACUGGUCAUUUAACAACAUUUUGAGGAGAUAAUCUGCGGGUUGGUGAGGGGUGACACAUGCCACCGCACACUUUUUGCACUUCUUUUUGCCGAUUUCGGAUGACACAAAGCAAAAUCAUCUCUACAGAUGUCAUGUUUGCGAUUGUCGAUGCCGUUAAUUUGUGAAACGACAGUCACUGCCCUCUAGAGGAUUUAUUGCGUAACAUCCAUAACAACGCUGAAACCAGAUGGAGGAAUGAAGGGUAGUUCCGGAGGCAACGUUUGGGGCGACGGAAGAAUUUUGUCCGGAUCCGGAGGAAUGAAUCGGCCUUUAGCAGAGGUGGGGACAAUGAACUGUAUUAUGUGCGUCGCAAGGCGACAUCUACUGCCAGUACAACCAAAGUUGUCUGUGGAAAAGAGGAGGCAAAGGCAAUUUUCGCAGAGUUCCACAGCAGCAGUAUCGGAGCGCACUGUGGGCAGCGAAAGACCAGAGAUGCCAUCUCUGCCAGAUUUUAUUGGCCUGGCAUGUCUUCAGAGAUUGACUCAUGGGUGAUUAUACUAAAUGGUUUUUUUCAACAGUAUUCCAAAUUCAAGCCUUUUCAAAUGAAGAUCAUAUACAUUUCUGUAUUUUAACAUUUUAAAUAUUGCUGUUUUAAUAAAGGUGGCACAGUGUGUUCCAUGCCAGGCCAACACAACGACCAUAAAGCGUGAGGUGGAGUAUAUACCCAUCACAGUAUGUUUUCUUUUCUAUUACGCUCCUAAUACAACUUGUGUUUUGUAUGUCUCAACAAUAAUAAUGAGUCAUAAUGAUUGAUGCGAUGUUUCCUUAUUAAACAUUUUACAUUUAAAUGAAAUAUGGAAAACCAAAUAUAAAAAGGGAGAUAUUUUUGUCAUUCAUUCAUUUCUUCUAGGUUAAAGAGCCAUUUGAGCUGGUCGGAAUGGACCUCAUUGGGAAGCUGACAGUCACCGACAGAGGGAACCAGUACAUUUGCGUCAUGUUGGACUACCUCACUAAGUGGCCACAAGCUUAUGCCCUUCCAUCGAAGACAGCAAAAUAAGUCACUGGGUGUCUCUUGAAGUUUGUGCACCAAUUUGAAGCACCUAAGAGAGUCCUCACAGACCAGGGGACGGAGUUUGUAAAUGCUGUAGGUUUCAUAUGUACAGUAUAAGCUGGACCACAGGAUUAAGUCACAAGUGCUGCUGGCUUGUUUUGUCAUUUCAUGAAAUUGGUUAAAUACUUUCUUACACAAUGUCCUUAACUGUUUCUCUUGUCAUUCUUUACUAAUAACAGCUCAACAAAAAUGUUUGUGAAGUAUUGCAAAUCAAAAGGAGUCUUUGUGCUCCGUAUCAUCCACAAACCAAUGGUUUAGUGGAAAGGAUGAAUGCAACCAUACAGAGGUAUGAUCUGUAUGUUUUAAUUGUAAUAAUACUCACUAUAAAAUAAUGUUG
ensembl:lncRNA